GUUUGAGUUAGUCAGGUAUGCAAUUCGAAGGGUCUCAAUGAUGCAGCUGACAGAGGGCGCUCCUUUGGGGUUGGUUCAGUUUCUUUGUGCUCAACUUAAAAGGUUUGUGCAUGCCUUGGGUCAUGUUUCUCUUUUUUUACAAUCCUUGACAUCAUUUGAGGCAUUAUAUAGGGGUGUCUAUUUUGUACUCUAUGAUAUUGUCAAAG